GAUGAACGCUAGCGGCAGGCCUAACACAUGCAAGUCGAGCGGGAUUAAUUGGUAGCUUGCUACUAAUUAUGAGAGCGGCGCACGGGUGCGUAACGCGUAUGCAACCUACCUUAUACUGGGGUAUAGCCCGGAGAAAUUCGGAUUAAUCCCCCAUAGCAUUAUCGAUUCGCAUGUUUUGAUAAUUAAAGGUUACGGUAUAAGAUGGGCAUGCGUCCUAUUAGCUAGAUGGUGAGGUAACGGCUCACCAUGGCGACGAUAGGUAGGGGGCCUGAGAGGGUGGUCCCCCACACUGGUACUGAGACACGGACCAGACUCCUACGGGAGGCAGCAGUGAGGAAUAUUGGUCAAUGGGCGAAAGCCUGAACCAGCCAUGCCGCGUGCAGGAAGACGGUCCUAUGGAUUGUAAACUGCUUUUAUUUGGGAAUAAACCUCUUUACGUGUAGAGAGCUGAAGGUACCAAAUGAAUAAGCACCGGCUAACUCCGUGCCAGCCGCCGCCGUAAUAC
rnacentral:rRNA from 1 species